GACGAACGCUGGCGGCGUGCCUAAUACAUGCAAGUAGAACGCACAGUUUAUACCGUAGCUUGCUACACCAUAAACUGUGAGUUGCGAACGGGUGAGUAACGCGUAGGUAACCUGCCUGGUAGCGGGGGAUAACUAUUGGAAACGAUAGCUAAUACCGCAUAAUAUUAAUUAUUGCAUGAUAAUUGAUUGAAAGAUGCAAUUGCAUCACUACCAGAUGGACCUGCGUUGUAUUAGCUAGUAGGUGAGGUAACGGCUCACCUAGGCGACGAUACAUAGCCGACCUGAGAGGGUGAUCGGCCACACUGGGACUGAGACACGGCCCAGACUCCUACGGGAGGCAGCAGUAGGGAAUCUUCGGCAAUGGACGAAAGUCUGACCGAGCAACGCCGCGUGAGUGAAGAAGGUUUUCGGAUCGUAAAGCUCUGUUGUAAGAGAAGAACGGGUGUGAGAGUGGAAAGUUCACACUGUGACGGUAUCCUACCAGAAAGGGACGGCUAACUACGUG
rnacentral:rRNA from 1 species